GAGCAUGCGCAGUGACGUGCUGCCGCCCGCUGCCGCUCGCGUCCCGACGUUAAUGAAGUCCACUUCGGGUUUUCCCAGAGGGUAGGGGCGGGGAAGUCGGCCGGAGCCUCUGAUUCUCCUGAAGCUGGAAGGGUUCUUUAGUUUCAAUUACUAAUGUGCUAGGAUGGAGGAACUGCAACCCGCAGCCGCGAAUAUCUUCUCCAUUUCCCCAGGGAAAACUGGCUUAAUAGAAAACGUUCUACACACAACCUUCUUGUAACUUGGAAAGUCCGCUUUUCUGGGUGGAAAUGAGCGAUAUCAGACCGAGGAGAGAGAGCACAAGCAAGCAGAGCAGUAAGCAGAGGGAGAGGGAGAAGCAGACACCUGCUGAGCAAGGAGCCCAACGUGGGACUUGAUCCCAGGACCCUGGGAUCAUGACCUGAGCCAAAGGCAGACACUUAAAGGACUGAACCACCGAGGUGCCCUAGAGAUACAUUCUUCAAGUUCCUCUCUGACCAGAUGAGCGCCCACUGACUACUGAACUGGAACAUCUUAUUUACAGGGUUUCAAAUCAACAGAAAAUUCAAAUACUUACAACUUCCCUUUAUAAUCUACCCUCAUGAGAAAAAGCAAUGACAAGUCAGCAAGUUAAUAUCAGUAAUUACAAAGUACAAUUUCCAAACAGAUGUGGGAAUUAACAUCAGAGAACCAAAAAAUGUAAAAUAGCAAAGAUAUCAGCAAAAAUUAAGAGAAGUAUUUUGAGGGGUACCUGAGUGGCUCACAUGGUUAAGCACCUGCCUUCUGCUCAGAUUAUGAUCUCCAGGUCCUGAGAUCAAGCCCCAGGUUGGACACCCAGUUCAGCGGGAAGUCUACUUCUCCC